rnacentral:rRNA from 1 species
GAUGAACGCUGGGGGCGUGCCUAAUACAUGCAAGUCGAGCGAACAGACGAGGAGCUUGCUCCUUCGACGUUAGCGGCGGACGGGUGAGUAACACGUAGGUAACCUACCUAUAAGACUGGGAUAACUUCGGGAAACCGGAGCUAAUACCGGAUAAUAUUUCGAACCGCAUGGUUCGAUAGUGAAAGAUGGCUUUGCUAUCACUUAUAGAUGGACCUGCGCCGUAUUAGCUAGUUGGUAAGGUAACGGCUUACCAAGGCAACGAUACGUAGCCGACCUGAGAGGGUGAUCGGCCACACUGGAACUGAGACACGGUCCAGACUCCUACGGGAGGCAGCAGUAGGGAAUCUUCCGCAAUGGGCGAAAGCCUGACGGAGCAACGCCGCGUGAGUGAUGAAGGUCUUCGGAUCGUAAAACUCUGUUAUUAGGGAAGAACAAACGUGUAAGUAACUGUGCACGUCUUGACGGUACCUAAUCAGAAAGCCACGGCUAACUACGUG